GGUGUUCCAAAACUAGGUGUGUCGAAUGUGCCAAAUAGUUGUAAGCCGUUGGUUUGCUUGCUCCGCAUACGUAAUUGCUUGAACAUUAAGAUCGGAGAAAAAUUUAAAAAUAUAUCUGGUAAAAUUCCUUUUAAAUAUUAUAGCUUUCUAGUCAAUGAUUUCGUUAAUUACGAUUCUAAUAAUGAUGAGUUUAGAAAUGAUUCGCUUUAUAAUUUUCGUUAUUAUUCUUGAAAGAGUGGUAAUACAUUUAGAUACCAUGUAUUUUAGGUUAUCAAAUUAAAAUUCAUUUAUGAUGGCAUAUGUGGUAUUUUAUUGUUAAAAUGUUCAUAUUGGAAGAACUAGGCGGUUAAGAUAACUUUAGUUAGUAAUUAAAUCAUAAAUGUAAUUCAAUAUAAACAUAGUUGAUUGAUGGAAUAUAGAAGUGUUCAAUUCAUUCUCUCUUUCUCUCUUCUCCAUCUUCUUCAUGUGAAUACUCCGUCAUUCUGAAAGUACGCAUAUAGGUAAGGGUAAGUACGGGUUUGGCUCUGAACGUAACCAACCCCAUUGGGAGGGUGUUUAGGGUGAAUAUUUUGACCCAUUCAUUGACACCGAUUGGAUUAAAAUCCUCGUAAUUGAGAUCGAAUCAUUGGAUUUUAUCAAUGCGUACUCAAUUGGACCGCAAGACAAAAUUGGAUUCUAGUUGAAAAGAUUAAGAUUAUAUAGGGUGAAAGUCAUAUUUUCAAUAAAACUAGUUAAUUAACUAUUAACCUAAUUAUAUCAAGCAAGCUUUACAUGCGAUAAUGGAUGGUGGGAUUAUAUAUAUAUAUGAGAUAAUUGAAUUGCCACCAAUCAUUUAAAUCUCGAUCAACGUAUGCAUGAUAAACCUAAAUUUCAAGAUAGAAAUAUAUAAACAUUAUCAGAUAUCUUAUAUUAUCUCAUCAUCAACUAUUUCACAUGAUUUGUCCCCUAAUUAAUCAUUCAUAAAACCAUUGAAAAAUAAGAAAUUAACCAUGAAUAUGAUAAGUUCACUAGGAAUCAACAUAAGUUUGACAUCAGUCAUCAUUCUAGUCUCUUUAAAUUCCAAAUAUGAUAAGAAACUAUUAAUUGUCAAUGACCAGAGAUUAGGAGCGUGCAAUAUCAGUCUUUGUGGACAACGUUAAAGAAUUUGGAUUUCCAAAACCUUUAGAAGUGGGCAUAGAUUGAUCAAAGUCUCAAGUCUAUUGACGUUUUCAAAUGUGAUGGAGCGAAGAUGAAGAUUGGUUAAUAAUUUAAACCCAUCAAAUGAAGUAGGAAGUGUUAUUUUGUAGAACGUGAGAUCCAAAGUGAUCAGCUUAUCGAAACGAAAGGUAGCAGAAUGAAUCAAAUACUCUGUAGUAAAUUUCAGUACAAGUUGUUGAACAGAAGCAACGACCAAAUAAUCCAGCCAUAAAUCUACUUCUGAGUUAAUAACUUCACUACCACUGCCGUGAAAUUUAAUAUUCGAAUGUCACCUCUGUGAAGAAAAAGAAUUCGAUGAACUUUACUCUAUAUUCUCGUGAAUGAAGAUGGUGGUCCCCGUUCACUUCUGUAAAAUUAA
rnacentral:lncRNA from 1 species